UACGGGAGGCAGCAGGGGGAAUAUUGCACAAUGGGCGCAAGCCUGAUGCAGCCAUGCCGCGUGUAUGAAGAAGGCCUUCGGGUUGUAAAGUACUUUCAGUCGUGAGGAAGGUGUUAAGGUUAAUAACCUUAGCAAUUGACGUUAGCGACAGAAGAAGCACCGGCUAACUCCGUGCCAGCAGCCGCGGUAAUACGGAGGGUGCGAGCGUUAAUCGGAAUUACUGGGCGUAAAGGGCACGCAGGCGGUUAAUUAAGUUGGAUGUGAAAUCCCCGGGCUUAACCUGGGAAUGGCAUUCAAGACUGGUUAGCUAGAGUCUUGUAGAGGGGGUUAGAAUUCCAUGUGUAGCGGUGAAAUGCGUAGAGAUGUGGAGGAAUACCGGUGGCGAAGGCGGCCCCUGGACAAAGACUGACGCUCAUGUGCGAAAGCGUGGGGAGCAAACAGGGAUUAGAUACC
rnacentral:rRNA from 1 species